GAUGAACGCUGGCGGCGCGCCUAACACAUGCAAGUCGAACGAUUAAAGCACCUUCGGGUGUGUAUAAAGUGGCGAACGGCUGAGUAACACGUGGGCAACCUGCCCCUCUCAUUGGGAUAGCCACGGGCAACCAUGGAUAAUACCUAAUACUUCGGGACUUCCACCUGGAAGACUCGAGAAAGCCCCGGCGGAGAGGGAUGGGCCCGCGGCCUGUUAGUUUGUUGGAGGGGUAAUGGCCUACCAAGGCAAUGAUGGGUAGCUGGGUUGAGAGACCGACCAGCCAGAUUGGGACUGAGACACGGCCCAGACUCCUACGGGAGGCAGCAGUGGGGAAUCUUGCACAAUGGGCGAAAGCCUGAUGCAGCGACGCCGCGUGCGGGAUGAAGGCCUUCGGGUUGUAAACCGAUUUCAGCAGGGACGAGGCGAAAGUGACGGUACCUGCAGAAGAAGCCCCGGCUAACUACGUG
rnacentral:rRNA from 1 species